rnacentral:rRNA from 1 species
UACGUAGGGUGCAAGCGUUAAUCGGAAUUACUGGGCGUAAAGCGUGCGCAGGCGGCUCGGAAAGAAAGAUGUGAAAUCCCAGGGCUUAACCUUGGAAUGGCAUUUUUAACUCCCGAGCUAGAGUAUGUCAGAGGGGGGUAGAAUUCCACGUGUAGCAGUGAAAUGCGUAGAGAUGUGGAGGAAUACCGAUGGCGAAGGCAGCCCCCUGGGAUGAUACUGACGCUCAUGCACGAAAGCGUGGGGAGCAAACAGG